UGGGAAUUUGGACAAUGGGCGAAAGCCUGAUCCAGCAAUGCCGCGUGUGUGAAGAAGGCCUUCGGGUUGUAAAGCACUUUUGUCCGGAAAGAAAUCCUUGGCUCUAAUACAGUCGGGGGAUGACGGUACCGGAAGAAUAAGCACCGGCUAACUACGUGCCAGCAGCCGCGGUAAUACGUAGGGUGCAAGCGUUAAUCGGAAUUACUGGGCGUAAAGCGUGCGCAGGCGGUUUGCUAAGACCGAUGUGAAAUCCCCGGGCUCAACCUGGGAACUGCAUUGGUGACUGGCAGGCUAGAGUAUGGCAGAGGGGGGUAGAAUUCCACGUGUAGCAGUGAAAUGCGUAGAGAUGUGGAGGAAUACCGAUGGCGAAGGCAGCCCCCUGGGCCAAUACUGACGCUCAUGCACGAAAGCGUGGGGAGCAAAACAGGAUUAGAUACCCUGGUAGUCCACGCCCUAAACGAUGUCAACUAGUUGUUGGGGAUUCAUUUCCUUAGUAACGUAGCUAACGCGUGAAGUUGACCGCCUGGGGAGUACGGUCGCAAGAUUAAAACUCAAAUGAAUUGACGGGGUCAUAGCUGUUUCCU
rnacentral:rRNA from 1 species